rnacentral:lncRNA from 1 species
UCCUCAAGUUCAUCUCUAGGACGCUGCCAUGACUUAUAAUUGGUCUUCCAGUUGAUUGGGGGACCCGAAAGUACCCAAUAACCACCCGGCCUCAGAACUCGAUCAACUUCCAUUAGGUAUGUUCCAUCUGCAAUAAAAGAUUAGAUAUCACCUAUAAAAUUAUCGACACUGCUUGGUUUUUGUAAGGUACAUUUUAUAAGUUAUAAUUAACAGGAAAGGUCAAAAAAUAAACUAAAUGCUCUAAUAAUAAUUCUCACCAUUUCCACCCCAAGGAAUUAAGCAUCGAGAACAAUGAGCCAUGUCAAAGGCUCUAGAUGGGUAAGGCAGCUUAAUAGUACCCAGAACACCAAUAACUGCCGGCACUCCUCUUUCAAGAGCAAAUUGAACCUGUGCUUCAUGAGAGUCUCGUGGUGCAAAUGAC